rnacentral:rRNA from 1 species
AUACGGAGGGUGCGAGCGUUGUUCGGAAUUAUUGGGCGUAAAGAGCAUGUAGGCGGUCUGUUAAGUCUGGUGUGAAAGCCCGGGGCUCAACUCCGGAAGUGCAUUGGAUACUGGCAGACUUGAGUAUGGGAGAGGAAAGCGGAAUUCCGAGUGUAGGAGUGAAAUCCGUAGAUAUUCGGAGGAACACCAGUGGCGAAGGCGGCUUUCUGGACCAAUACUGACGCUGAGAUGCGAAAGCGUGGGGAGCAAACAGGAUUAGAAACCCGUGUAGUCC